ensembl:lncRNA
AUUGUGUAGUGGCGCUGCAUACAGUAAGUGUUGCUCUCCACUUUCUGGAGGAUCAAGUUUUGAAAUCAGUGGAAUUAGAGUAUGAUAGCUAAAGAGAUGGAGAAAACACCUGUCUCCGGAUUACAUCUUCAAACUAAGUGCAACCAUGGCAUGGCAUUCCUGACAGGGAGACAUGUACUUCAAGCAUGAUGAUGUAUACAGGUAUACAGACGAGGAGGCAUACAAAGGCAUGUCAAUUGCUAUUGGAAACCUGUUUGAUCACCACACACUGCAAAAUCAUUCUGGCUAUGGAUACGGAGAACAUCAACACAUUAACAUCAACAUACCAGAGGAUAUACCCAUUGGACUUGUGGCUCUGCUGGGAGUUUACCUCAUAUUUGAAUUUUAAAUUCUGCUUUCCAACUAAAAUCACAAUAAACA